GCCAGCCAUGGGGAUUCAUUAAAGUCCAAAACAGAAACUCAAACAGGAAGUACCCAUGCUUCGAACUAUUCAAUGCUGGUCUGACCAAUCGGAAUCCAUGCUUCAGGAUUGUUUUGAUCACGUGGACUGGGAUAUGUUCCGGGUAGCUUGCGAAAAUAAUCUACACGCAUACACGGAUACGGUGACUGAGUGUAUAAGGAAGUGUAUAGGAGACUUAGUACCUACUGUGACUAUUAAAACCUACCCUAACCUGAAACCGUGGAUAGAUGGUAGCAUUCGCGCAAAACUGAAAGUGCGAACCACCACAUUUAACUAUGGCAAGGUGACUGGUAAUGUGGCAGAAUAUAAACAGUGUAGUUAUUCACUCUGUAAGAAAAUCGAUCAGGCUAAAUGUCAGUAUAUCGAUAAAGUGGAGUUGCAAUUCAACGGCUCAGACACGAGACGUACAAUAUGUAGCAGGGACUACAGACAAUCACGGACUACAAAAGGCAAACCAGCCACGUUGCCGAGACCGACCUCUUGCUUCCGGACAGGCUAAGCACAUUCUUCACAUGCUUUGAGGAUAACACCGUGCCACCAACGCAGCCCGCUACCAAGGACUGUGGGCUCUCCUUUUCCGUGGCCGACAUGAGUAAAACAUUUAAAACGUGUUACCCCUCACAAGUCUGCCGGCCCAGACAGUAUCCCUAGCCGCGUACUCAGAGCAUGCGCAGACCAGCUGGCUGGUGUGUUCUACCUAUCCCAGUCUGCUAUCCCCACAUGCUUCAGGAUGGCCACCAUUGUUCCUGUACUCAAGAAAUCAAAGGUAACUGAACUAAAUGACUGUCGCCCUGUAGCACUCACUUCUGUCAUCAUGAAGUGCUUUGAGAGACUAUUCAAGGAUCAUAUCACCUCUACCUUACUUGCCACCCUAGACCCACUUCAAUUUGCUUACCGCCCCCAAUAGAUCCACAGAUGAUGAAAUCGCCAUCACUCUGCACACUGCCCUAUCCCAUCUGGACAAGAGAAAUACCUGUGUAGGAAUGCUGUUUAUUGACUACAGCUCAGCAUUCAAUACCAUAGUACCCUCGAAGCUCAUCAUUAAGCUUGAGGACCUGGGUCUGAACUCUGCCCUGUGCAACUGGGUCCUGGACUCCCUGACAGGCCGCCCCCAGGUGGUGAAGGUAGGACACAUCACCUCCGCUCCUCUGAUCGUCAACACUGGGGCCCCACAAGGGUGCGUGCUCAGCCCCCUCCUGUACUCCUUGUUCACCUAUGACUGCGUGGCCAAGCAAGCCUCCAACUCAUUCAUCAAGUUUGCAUACGACACAACAGUAGUAGGCUUGAUUACCAACGAUGACGAUAGGAGGCGAGGGCUCUGGGAGUGUGGUGCCUGGAAAACAACCUCUCACUCAACAUAAAAAAACAAAGGAGAGGAUUGUGGACUUCAGGAAACAGCAGAGGGUGCACCACCCUAUCUACAUCGACGAGACCGCAGUGGAGAAGGUGGGAAGCUUAUGAUCCUUGGCAUACACAUCACUGACAAGCUGAAAAGGACCACCCACACAGACAGUGUGGUUAAGAAGGUGCAACAGAGCCUCUUCAACCUCAGGAGGCUGAAGAAAUGUGGCUUGUCACCUAAAACACUCACAAGCUUCUAUCGCCGCCUGGUAUGGCAACUGCACCGCCUGCCAUCGCAAGGCUCUCAUUACCGGCGGCAAACUACCUGCUCUCCAGGACACCUACAGCACCCGACGUCACAGGAAGACCAAAAAGUUUAUCAAGGACAUCAACCACCCGAGCCACAGCCUGUUCACCCCGCUGUCAUCCAGAUGGUGAGGUCAGUACAGGUGCAUCAAAGCUGGGACCGAGAGAUAUAAUCUGUUUUUCAAUCUCAAGGCCAUCAGACUGUUAAACAGCAAUCACUAGCACAUUAAAGGCUGCUGCCUAUAGGCAUGGACUAGAAAUCACUGUCCACUUUAAUAAAUGGCGCACUAGUAACUUUGAUAAUGUGUACAUAUCUGGCAUUACUCAUAUCAUAUGUAUAUACUGUAUUCUAUACUAUUCUACUGUAUCUCAUUCACUUAAUGUUUACAUAUCUUGCAUUACUCCUCUAUUAUGUACAUACUAUAUUCUAUACUAUUCUACUGUAUCUUAGUCCUUUCCACUCUGACAUCGCUCGUCCAUAUGUAUAUAGUCAUAAUGAAUUCCUGCUUAGAUUUGUGUGUAUUGGGUAUAUGUUGUGUAAUUUGUUAGAUAUUAAUUGUUACAUUUUACUGCACUGUUGGAGCUAGAAGCUCAAGCAUUUCGCUACACCCGCAAUAACAUCUGCUGAUUACAUGUACGUGACCAAUAAAAUUUGAUUUGAUUUAAUAA